AACAGCAAAAGAACCUGUGGCAGUUUGUCUCUGCGCAGUGCGGGCGUCUGUGAGGGCAGUGGUUUCUGACUUCAUGGUGCACACGCAUCCCAGCACCUUCUUGUUUCUCCUGUGACCGAAGCCAUUGCCAGCACUGCUGGCUGCUUUCCUGUGCGGUCCCUUGUACCCCUGGGAUGCCCGUUUGCCCUGCCACAUCCCCAGGAGCCCUUCACCUCCGCACCAUGCCCUGCUGUGGGCAUCCCCCUCCUUGAGCAGUGAGCCUGGGAGUGCCGGCGCACACCUGGCCAAGCUCGCCUGCUCUCCCCUCCGUGCCUCACCAUGGUCUUGGGCACCUGGGCAGCAGCUGCAAGCCAGGACUUGGUGGCAGAUGUGGGGAUGUCAGUGGGUUGGAGGGAGGCUGCUCCUAAACGGGUUCAUCUGAGGUAGCAGCAGGGCAGAGGAUGGAUGUUUAAAACAGGCAGUGUUGCCAUAAAUGGGUGAGAUAGCUUUCCAAAGCACUCAGCUCUGAUUUCUCAAGUGGUUCAGUGACUAAAGCAUCUCAGAAAAGUGGAGUUUUGCUGCUUUAACCCAAUAUCUGUCACCCUGAGAAAUGAGUAGCAAUAAGUCUGGGCAGCAGAUGGUAAAGUCUUCCACAUACCUAAAGAGGAGAGAGGGAAUGACAGUGACGUUUCUGACAUCUUGUUAAAUAAACACACAUGUCACUUCAUCUCAGAUAUGAAUGUACACUGCAGUGCAGAUGAUUAAAUAGAGUACUGGGGGAUUGGACUAGAUGAUCUUUUGAGGUCACUUCUAAUCCCUAACAUUCUGUGAUUCUGUGAUACUUCAUAUUUGGAAGUAGGUGUCUGCCUGUUGGGUCAAAAUUUCAAACACUUCUAUAUGUGGCAGCUAGCCUUUGGCUUGGUUUGCUCAGUAACUCACUGAACCUACUUUUAGUGUAAUUAUUGGAAUAAAUAUUUAUGCUCCAAAGACCUGGUAUCUAGCUUAUUGGGGCAAAUCCAUUCUAAUUUCCUUUUUUUAAUACGAGCAACGCUGAAGGGAAUUGGUGUGUGAAUAGCUCUCCCUAUAGCCACUGCAACCACUUGUGCUGCCAUGCUCACCAGCAUCUGAGGGAUGGGGAGGGUAAUUCAUUUCCAUUUAGCACAUGGGGAAAAUAUUUCCAUUCAACACUUAGUCUGUCUUCUGAGAGAACACAGAAAUGGGCACAUUGUCUGUUUAGGUUGUUAAUGUGACUAUUAGUGUUUUGGUAGUAGCUUCUAAAGAGCUAUCAGAUGGUGUCAUGGUUUUUGGAGGACUCUAGGUCAGGCUCUGUGUGGCAUGGUAGGGUUGUCAUGUCCCCCUGACUCACUGGUGGGUACUGGAGCACUUACCCAGUGGUGUGUGUCAAUUAUUGGUGAUGUAGGAGUGGAACACGAGGCAGGUAGAGCAAGCACUUUGAAAAGCCCACGGUUUGUGCAGCAUUAAUUUUGAUAAAUGUUUUUCCCUGCAGAGCCCAAAUUGGGGGAGGUGCUGACCCUGUGGAGCUUGCAGGUAUUUAGAGGCAGGAGUGGGGCUGGGGCUGCCUAUCAGCAUCAUUCAUUGCAGCUGGUGCUGGGGUUUUCCCUGCUGUCCGUUUGGAGGCUGCAAAUGCUGCUCUUUCAGUGUGUUCCAAGGGACAGAAGAUUCAGUCUCCAUCCUAGUGACUGCUUUGGGGGUGAGAAUAUCUUAAGCCAUGAUGAGGAGAUUCUUCUUGGUGCUCCUCUUGAAAAGCAAAGUGAUGGGUACUGACGGAGAACUGUUGUCCUUGAUGUGGAGAUGCUGAGGAUCCUUGGCUGAGUACUGUACUCCUCAGGCAAGAAAAAAACCCCACAAAACCCUGCAGGAGCCUGGAAAUGUUUUUGUAUCAGUCCCAGUGGCCUGACAUGAAAGAUAUAUAGCCACUUCGAAGAAUUUGACAACACUUCAGUAACAAUUAUCCAGACAGACUGGAAAUGCUUUUUUAUGGGGGCUUGUACUGGCGAGGCUCAGCAAUGCUUCUGUCAUUACAGCACAUUUGUCUUGGAUCACUCAGGAUGUAUUCGUGUGCAGCUGAAAUUCCUGCUAGCUGCCUGUGGCCAUCAGUAACGGAAGUGCCCAGAAGAACAUUGGGAAACAUGUGUGUGUAAGUUUGUGAUCUAAACUAAAUGACUUUGAUUUGUGCAGCUUACCUGAGGCCUUCCUUUUCUAAUUAUUUGGCCUGAAAAAAUACGGCAGUUUUGGGCUGUAUUGUUAGCAAUCUAUAUAGUAUUACAAGGUAUCCUAACAAGAGCUGCUGCAACUUUCAUCUGAUAGGCCCUAAGAUUUCAUCUGGUUAUUGAACACAAAUUGCCCUAAAAGUAUUUUAACUGGGAGACAAAAUAUAUUCCAGUGAUAAACACAAAAUGAAACUUCCAUGACAAUUUGUUAAAACACAGCUUCUCUUGCGAAACCGUUUGUGAGGGCUGGUUUGUCAGAGAGGCAUAAAUACAUUAAAGAGAAAGUAUCUUAAUUCGCCAAAACAUUGAGUGAUAAUAUAAGCCACAGAUAACUCCUGGACUGAAAAAAGCAUCAUUAAAUGUUGCAAUAUGAAUGGAAAUUUGGGUUCUCUGCUGUGCUACGUCAAGGUGUUCACUGUCCAAGAAUAUCAGAAGGCCUGAAAAAGGCUUUGAGAUACCUUAGGAGAUGCUGUGAAUGUGCCUUUUACAGAAACAUCAAAAUUACAUACUAAUUAACACCACAGUGGCAGACAGACAAGGGAAGGAGGAAGUAUUGUACUCAUAUCUGCCCCAGAAACAGAUACCAGCUGUGAGCUGAUUUGCGAGCACCCUCCUUCCAUUAGUGAUUUUGAAUUUCAAAGUGAAAUAGUUUAAACACACCUGUUUCUUAUUUAUGUUCAUACCUUCAUAAGAUUAUACUGUUCUGAGCUACAUCCUUUCCUUCCUUGUAUCUGUGAAUCUCCAAAUUGAUGGGAUUUUGCCUGAGAAAAGAAUUUGUCACUACCUGAUCAUUUCAAGAUGAUACUAAGGAGGCAGUGAUGGCAUUUUUUUUCCCUGGGUUUGGUUGGGUUAUUCAUGUCAGAUCUUGAAAGUGGAAGGAAAACAGAUGUGAACAAAAACGAGGCUUCAUGUUCUAUACGCUUUUUAUUUUAUUUUUUUUUUUUUUUUAAGCAUUUAUGUGCUUAUUCAGGGCUCUUGGGUGCAGUCAUGCUCCCCACAAUCUUGCCAGCAUCGCAGAUCUUUCCUAGCUAGUUGAUGGCUUUUGGUAAGCACGCUUCUCUAUAACUGUUUGCAUUUUGAGCUGAGCCUGUAUGUAGCUUGCUGGAGAAAUAGAUGUUUAUUUUUAUUCUAUUCCCUGCCCCCCCACCUUGGAAACCUGUAUUUAGAAGAUACCUGCUUCAAGAUUUUCUGCCAUACCAAUUUUUCAGGAUAGGCACCCUGAAAUUACUCUUAACCCGUGCGGGGUUCAACAAAAGCAGAGAGGACUGAUUAUCCAGACAAAUCCAAAACAGAAGGUGGUUGCAGAGUUGUGGGGCCAGCCAAGGAGGAAUGAAGGGGAUGUCAUUGUCUAGAGCUGGGUUCAGCCUGGAUGGCUCUUCUCUGGGUGGGUGAAGCACAAAAGUAGCCCAGGGUGAGUGGUGUCUCUCACCCCAGCCUGCUUCUCGCCCUCCUCUGUGAAGCUCAUGGGAGAUGGUCCUGACAUAUGUUCCUUCAUAGUUCAGUUCAGCUUCACAGCCACUUUUGUCUCCAUCAGCUGCCUUGCUUCUGGUCACCAUAGGGGUGGGUGCCCCAUCCUGCUGAGGAGGUGCUGCUCCAGGCACUGGGUGCCUCCCCUGGGCUCCAUGUGAGGCACAGCUCUGUGCUGCUCACGGAGGUUUGUUCUCAGGGCAAAGCCCUUUUAUGAAUACAGCUAUGGUUAGUGCCUUUUUUUUUUUUUAACUGCUGCAAAGCCAGGAUUAAUGCAAAUAGCAUAUUACUGAGCAAUAUGAGGAUAGUUAAUCGCCUUGCAGCAGCUGUGGUGUCCCCGGCUCCGCUGCUGAAGGACACCCGGGCAGAGUGCUAGAAAGGUGCUGUGAAUGCCUGAUGAGGCUGUGGCACGUCCCAGAGCCCUGCUCUACAUCAGGGCUGUGCUGGCUUUCUCAAAAGUGCCAGGAGAUGGCAGUAAAGGCAUUUGCAAGGGAGGAUUUCUUUAACUCAAAUUGUUUGUCCCCUAGGGAUCCUUGUAGGAGACCUUGAUCAUAAAUCCCGCAUGCAAUAAGGGGUUCAUAAUGCAUCCUACAGAGUACACGUUGUAUUGUUCCCUGAGAUGUAAAGUUUCAUUUUCAACAGAGAAGGCCCUUUUCUUUCCUCUUUUCUAUUUAUUUUUAACAUCUAGCAUAUUCCUACUGUUUAAUUUUCUUUCAAAGAAACAGGCAAACUAAGCCUUUAAUGUUCACUGAGCAAGACAUCGAUGUGAUGGUUGCAGGGAAACACAGGGUUGCUAGUACAGGGGAGUGAAAAGGGAUAAACCACAGUUUUGCCAGACUGGAUAUAGAGGGUUAUUCCUUGCCUGAAAAUGAGCCUUACCCUUGUCAAAAAGGUAUUCAUGCUGAUGCUUUGAGACAGAGUAGCCAGACACAGCAAAGCCUUUUGCAGAGGUCUGCUUUGUUGUGGGAAAAUAGUUAAGGAGGAAUUUGAAACUUGAUUUUGCCUUGUUUUGUCAUCUUCAGUAGCUAUCAGGAAGGAACUUGGAUGUAGGAAAUGGAUGGGAAGAGAAACAGAAAUUCUUUUCUGCCACAUAGACAUUUUAUUUUCCCUGGAUAAUAAUGUGACAUGGAAAGAAUUACUGACGUUCAUGAAGGUGAAGAAAAGCAGAGUUAUCUGCCACACACCCACACUUCAGACUGUUCUUCUUACUGGUAUUACUUUUAGCAUGUUCUUCUCAGCAACAGUAAUGAAAAAUAGGUGAAAAGCCAUUCAUGAUAUUUCCUCCUUUCAUUUUACAGGGGAAUGGUGCUAAAGACAAUGCUAUACAUGCUUUGCUUGAAAACAGCCUUUCUAAAAGCAUUGGUUGUAAUUUGGGAUUUGGGAGCUGCAGUGCAGGAGGCAUUUUUUUGGUUCUUUAAGCUGAUUUUGUGAGAUGCUGUUGAAGAAGUUGGUGAUGGAACACCUGCAGUCACUGUUUGAAUCGUAUUAAUGGAAAAUAGGAAUGAUAGAAAGCCAGAAAAGCUUUGGCUUGCACAGCCACCCAGGAACAUUCCUUGCUUUUAGCUUGUGCUGCCUUAGAUAUGAAAUACAAAGAUGGGGAUCUCACCAGAACAGGCUGUUCCAUGGCAUUCCUCGCGCCGUCUGCUUUUAACCAGCCCUGAGAUGCUGAGUGGCUGGUGUCGUGGGGUCUGUGGGUGGCUGUGCCCUGACCAAUGCAAGCCAGACACAUGUUUCUUCUAGGGUUUGGGUAAGGAGGGAAGAUGGGGGGGUUAUUGGGAAAAAUGGAUUUGUGGUAUGGGAGCGUUCUUUUCCCCUACACUGUGAGCUUGGGAGAUACCUUGGGACUCACUGGCCUGCUGUCUUUUGGCAUUGCGUGAAAGCUGGGUGUCUGCAGAAGCCUUCGGGAUUGACUGUUGUUCCUCUAACAUGUUAUUCUUGUGGUCAUUCAGGUUCUGCCUGCAAUGAGCUUCUAAGAGGCUGUGGUAAGACGUUCUUGGUUGUCUCUGACCUCAUGGGCAGGCUCAGGCCUGAUGUGGUAUGGGGCUGCAAGUGGCCUGAGAUGCAGUUCCGCAAGAUGAUCAUUUGACCAUGGACCAAGGCCCAAGUUAUCUUUCUGGUGGCACACACUUGGUGCAAGCAUCGCGUUUGGCAGGAGCAGGGCCAGUGCUUUCCCCACUGGGAGUUGGAAGGUGACUUCAACAGUAUUAAAAUUUUUACCUCAUUUGUUAUUGUCAGUUGCAUUUUUUUUGGGGGGGAGGGCGGUUAGCUAUGAAUAAACUGAAUUAAAAACCUCACUACUGAGACACAUUCUUUUUCUGUGAGGGUGUCUAGUUGUCUCCUCAUUUGGACCACUCUCAAUUAACCCAAACCUCUUGAUUUCAGCUAGGUUGAAAGUCUAAUGGCAUUGUCAGGAUUUUGGAGUGUUUUGAAGGCUGGAGUUUAUAAGUAGGGAUGUUGAGGCUGAGAUGUUGAAGCUUAAGUUUUAUUCCCUUUUCUCUGCUUGAGAUUUUCCCUACCUUGCCAUUGUGUAUGUACUUUGAGUUUCUCCUUGUUUCUGUAACCCUUGGUGGUUUCUUUUCUGUGGAAGAGUUUUGUGGAUGAGAGAUGUCUGCAGAGAGCCCUUCCUCUUCCUUUUUUUUUUUUUUUUUUUUUUUUUUACGGAGAAUUUACCAAGGCUUGCUCAAAAUGCAGACAUCUUAAGUAUUAGUAGGAAAAGGUUCAAGGGAGAUUUAUGUGUGAGUGAUUCUUAUUUUAUUGAUGCACCUUUCCUGAAUGUUUUCUCGAGAUCCAAUGCUAUUUUUUAAGCUGACUUUGGCUAAUGAUAAGCUCUGGGGUAGGAACUGUCUUAUGGCCUGGAGAGGUUUGAGUUACCUGGUUUUGAAAUUCUGUGUGCAUCUUAUUAGGGUGUUUGUAUUGUAACAGCAUAUGAGCAGAAUGUAGGACCGAGUUCUGCCCCCAGUUGCUCUCAAACAAUGCUGUAUCUUAAAUAUGUGGAGAUAACUUAAUUUGCCUUUAGAAUUAUAAUCUUGGCAGUCUUAACCUUGACUUUGUACAGUCAUA